CCUACGGGUGGCAGCAGUGAGGAAUAUUGGUCAAUGGACUCACGUCUGAACCAGCCAUGCCGCGUGCAGGAAGACGGCUCCGUUAGUUGUAAACUUCUUUUGUACGAGGGUAACUCCCGAUACUUGUAUCCGGUUGAGAGUAUCUUACGAAUAAGGAUCGGCUAACUCCGUGCCAGCAGCCGCGGUAAUACGGAGGAUUCAAGCGUUCUCCGGGUUUCUUGGGUUUAAAGGGUGCGUCGGCGGUUCGAUAAGUUAUAGGUGAAAUCCCGGGGCUCAACUCCGGCACUGCCGCUGAUACUGUCGGGCUAGAGUUUAGGAGAGGUAGGCGGAAUGUAUGGUGUAGCGGUGAAAUGCAUAGAGAGCGUACAGAACACCGAUUGCGAAGGCAGCGUACCAAACUAAGACUGACGGUGAGGCACGAAAGCGUGGGGAGCAAACAGGAUUAGAUACCCUAGUAGUC
rnacentral:rRNA from 1 species